CAGCAGCCGCGGUAAUACAGAGGGUGCAAGCGUUAAUCGGAAUUACUGGGCGUAAAGCGCGCGUAGGUGGUUCGCCAAGUUGGAUGUGAAAUCCCCGGGCUCAACCUGGGAACUGCAUCCAAAACUGGCGAGCUAGAGUAUGGUAGAGGGUGGUGGAAUUUCCUGUGUAGCGGUGAAAUGCGUAGAUAUAGGAAGGAACAUCAGUGGCGAAGGCGACCACCUGGACUGAUACUGACACUGAGGUGCGAAAGCGUGGGGAGCAAACAGGAUUAGAUACCCCGGUAGUCCCUGUCUCUUAUAU
rnacentral:rRNA from 1 species